rnacentral:sRNA from 1 species
GCCAGGCAUGGUGGCGCAUGCCUGUAAUCCCAGUGGCUCAGGAGGCUGAGGCAGGAGGAUCGCGAGUUCAAAAUCAGCCUCAGCAACAGUGAGGUGCUAAGCAACUCAGCAAGACCCUGCCUCUA